rnacentral:rRNA from 1 species
UACAGAGGGGGCAAGCGUUGUUCGGAAUUACUGGGCGUAAAGGGCGCGUAGGCGGCCUGUUAAGUCGAACGUGAAAUCCCUGGGCUCAACCCAGGAACUGCGUCCGAUACUGGCAGGCUUGAAUUCGGGAGAGGGAUGUGGAAUUCCAGGAGUAGCGGUGAAAUGCGUAGAUAUCUGGAGGAACACCGGUGGCGAAGGCGGCAUCCUGGACCAUUACUGACACUGAAAAGCGAAAGCCAGGGGAGCAAACGGG